AGACAUAUGAAAGAAGGCCCAGAACACCAAUAUUUAAGGGAGGUAGGAGGAAGAGAAAGCAGGUCCUGAAAUAGGGUGAGGAAGGUCAGUACAGGCACUCUACCUAAAAGUCUUAUCAAACAAAGGUAUGUUUAUCCUCAGUAGGGAUGGUCCUUGACUUACAAUGGGGUUACAUCCCAAUAAACAUAUAAGUUAAGAGAAACCAGGCACGAAAUAGCACAUACUACAUGGUUCCAUUUAUAUGAAGUUCAUGAAUAGGCAAAAUUAAUGAUGAUGAUGCAAGUAUACAUGAAUACUUUAGGUUUCAGGGUAAUGAGAGAGCCUUGCAAGGUGUUAGAAAAGUUCUAUACCA
rnacentral:lncRNA from 1 species